UUUUCACCGUGAUUCCUACCCCUCUUGCCGUAGCCGCCUGAAAUCUCCUCGCAGGACUUAUCUUCUCCGCAACCGCGCCGCACCGUCCGCCGAGACCCGGAGCCGCACCUCGCAGUCUGCUCGCAGCGCGAAGGCUCGAACUGCCCGCCGAACACCGGAGUUUUCUUCUUCGGUGCCGUCUCGACAUCCUUGAAGGCUCAAACUCCCCGCCGAACGACUUCCAUGGCGUAUUCGGCCGCGGCGGUUGGGAGGCUGCUGUCGCCGUUUCUCGACAGCCUGAGGGAUCGGAUCCACUCAAGCGGCGACAACCUCUUCCGCUACCUCCCCUUGGGGUCCGCCUCCUUCCAUAGGGAUGGAGCACCAUGUGCUGAGCUUUGAGGGUGGAGUGCUGCAGGAGUCCUCCAAGUUUUAGGCGUCAGCGUACUGAUUCAUUGGCACAAACGCCGAAUCCCCUGCUUCUCCUUCUCCUUGAGGUCAGCCAGCGCGCCUUCCCGGCAUGAAUCGCAGGAACUGAAGCGCGCUAUAAACUGCAUCCUGGACCAUGAUGUAGCAGCUGGUGGACUGACAUGGACACUUCGGGCUUCGACUGAACUGAACCUCCUCGACGUCUGUGCCGGGGCCUCUGCUCAGCGCGCCCUCGUCUCCCGGGUGUUGUAGGAGCUGCACCCGGGGCACUUCUGCCCCAGCACAUGGAACCGCACACUCGACGUCGCGCUGCAGUCGUUGCACAGGAUCCACACCUGCAUCCAAUCAUCGCAAAAACAGCGUUCAGCUUCAGCGAUCGGCAUCAGACCAGCCUCAUCAUCAGGUUGAGAACCGGCCGUGGGUCGCAACUCGCAAACGAUGCAGGCGUACGAUGUGAUGGAAGGAUUUCAGAGGGAGAGCAUCCAGUCUGCUGCUUACCAUCUUCGUCAGGUAGAUCUCCGGCAUCGGCGUUGCCGCGACCUCCUCGUCGAGCUUCCGCCACGUGUCAGUCAUGUCGCAGGCGGACCUCGAGCACACAGGGCACGAGAAGCUGCAAAGAUCAAAGUCAAAAGGGUUUGAGAUCAUUGGAUGCAGGCAGAGGAUGAAAUGUGUCGGGUCAAGUUGUCUGGUCUGGUCUCUGAAGAAGUAUGUGAGGAGCUUACUGAUGGUGCGCUCUCAUCUCAUUCAUGCACUCCAGAUGAAUUGUGUGUCCGCACUGCAGCACGCUGAUGUCUUUCGUGGAGUCGAACAAAUACUGUAAAGGAAGAUAAGAGGAAUUUUUCUCAAGAUCACGAGCUGCAAAGUUCAGAAUGAUUUCUUUUUUUCCCCUUGGAAUGAACAAUGAAGUAUGAUGUGGCUCAGGCCUCUCACCUCGAAGCAGACAGGGCAGUUGUGAUGCAUUGCUCUUUCCACGCAGCGGUGAGAAUCCUUCAAGACGUUGCUGUAGCAACACCCUGUCAGAUUACAACAAGAGCAGCACGGGAUAGAGUUGGUGAAAUCCUUGUCGCGGAACAGGUAACAUGCAGAAUCAUAGCAGAAAGAAGUUCACGCAGGAAGUUACCGCAUUUGUCACAGUGAAAGAAGUUAUCUGCACCACCAGUUCUGAAAGAAAAAGAAGAUAAAAGCACAUGUUUCAGAUUUCGAGCAUAGCGUUAAGUAUUUUUGGAGGAAAACAUAGCUGCGAGUUUGGUACUUGCCUGCAUAUGCCACAUCCAUCACAGUGGUAUUGGCCCUUUGAUAACUGGAACAGAGCAGUAUGUCUAUCAGAUUGGGAAGCAUGUUUUUUUUUAAAAAAAGAAUUAUAGCACAACUAUUUCCAUAUUUAAGUUAGGAGGAACCAAAAAAAAAGUCCUUACAUCAUCGUCAAAGAAUUUGCAUAUUUCACAGAAGUAUUCCCCCAUGCAGGCACCACAGUUAGAACAAUUCUGUUGCACCUGUCAAUAGAAAUGAACAUUUUUUAUGCAACUAUUACAACCAAAAGAUAAGUGUUCUCGAAGCACUACUGUACUCCCUCCGUUCUUUUUUAUAUAACACCGUUGAUUUUUUUUCUUCAA